rnacentral:rRNA from 1 species
UACGGAGGUGCCAAGCGUUGUCCGGAUUUACUGGGCGUAAAGGGUGCGUAGGCGGUGAGGUAAGUCGGAUGUGAAAUCUCCGAGCUCAACUCGGAAAUGGCAUUGGAAACUACCUUACUCGAGGGUUGGAGGGGGGACUGGAAUGCUUGGUGUAGCAGUGAAAUGCGUAGAUAUCAAGCGGAACACCAGUGGCGAAGGCGAGUCCCUGGACAACUCCUGACACUGAGGCACGAAAGCUAGGGGAGCAAACAGG